rnacentral:rRNA from 1 species
GACGAACGCUGGCGGCGUGCCUAACACAUGCAAGUCGAACGGAGUAAGUAGCAAUACUUACUUAGUGGCGAACGGGUGAGUAACGCGUAGACAACCUGCCUCUAAAUUGGGGACAACACCGCGAAAGUGGUGCUAAUACCGAAUGUGGUAUCUUGGCUGCAUGGCUAAGAUAAGAAAGAUGGCCUCUGAAUAUGCUAUCGUUUAGAGAUGGGUCUGCGUCUGAUUAGCUAGUUGGUGAGGUAAUAGCUCACCAAGGCGACGAUCAGUAGCCGGUCUGAGAGGAUGAACGGCCACACUGGGACUGAGACACGGCCCAGACUCCUACGGGAGGCAGCAGUGGGGAAUCUUCCGCAAUGGACGAAAGUCUGACGGAGCAACGCCGCGUGAGUGAAGAAGGCCUUCGGGUCGUAAAGCUCUGUCGUUUGGGACGAACGUGCUCUAUGUGAAUAAUGUAGAGUAAUGACGGUACCAAAGGAGGAAGCCACGGCUAACUACGUG